rnacentral:rRNA from 1 species
GACGAACGCUGGCGGCGUGCUUAACACAUGCAAGUCGAACGGAAAGGCCCUGCUUUUGUGGGGUGCUCGAGUGGCGAACGGGUGAGUAACACGUGAGUAACCUGCCCUUGACUUUGGGAUAACUUCAGGAAACUGGGGCUAAUACCGGAUAGGAGCUCCUGCUGCAUGGUGGGGGUUGGAAAGUUUCGGCGGUUGGGGAUGGACUCGCGGCUUAUCAGCUUGUUGGUGGGGUAGUGGCUUACCAAGGCUUUGACGGGUAGCCGGCCUGAGAGGGUGACCGGCCACAUUGGGACUGAGAUACGGCCCAGACCCCUACGGGAGGCAGCAGUGUGGAAUAUUGCACAAUGGGCGGAAGCCUGAUGCAGCAACGCCGCGUGCGGGAUGACGGCCUUCGGGUUGUAAACCGCUUUCGCCUGUGACGAAGCGUGAGUGACGGUAAUGGGUAAAGAAGCACCGGCUAACUACGUG